rnacentral:lncRNA from 1 species
CUCUAAUAAAAGCACUCACACUGGUACGACCAAUUUCUUGCAAGAGUGACUGGGGACAUUAACAUUCGUUAUAAAUAUAUAAACAGAACUAUGUUUUUGGUUUGUUACUCAUUUUUGAUUAGGUUCUUAUUCCCCACUUUAUUGUCCCUUAAUCACUUUUCCCUCCUGAGCUGUAGAUUAUUACGCAAAGUGUGAUUUUGGCAGUGAUUUGCCAGCAUCCUGCGAUUGGACCUCUGAGGGACCCAUCAGCACUCAGACGGCAACAGAGGAAACUUCUUUCCAUCCUGAGAAUCCAUCUGGUGCAUUUCGUCUCAAGAGUGGAUUUCUUAAGAUCUCGGAAGACUCCUGUUUGGAGUUCUGGUACCAUAGACCUAACAGGAAGAGUUCUGAACUCAGAGUUUUGCUAGUGGAUGACAUUCAGCAGACACUGAUUUGGACGUCAGAGACGUCUAGCAGUGGAGACUGGAGACAAGUCUUCAUCCCACUGACGAAGCAAUCUGACAGCGACAACUUACAGGUACAGUACAGCAAUUUAAAUAUUCAUAUUUAGGUUUUGGGCAUCUUUAUGGUGAGAGAUAGCAGAAAAUCUUAUUUUCUUACUAGUUAUU